rnacentral:rRNA from 1 species
GAUGAACGCUGGCGGCGUGCCUAAUACAUGCAAGUCGAGCGAACAGACGAGGAGCUUGCUCCUCUGACGUUAGCGGCGGACGGGUGAGUAACACGUGGUUAACCUACCUAUAAGACUGGGAUAACUUCGGGAAACCGGAGCUAAUGCCGGAUAAUAUAUUGAACCGCAUGGUUCAAUAGUGAAAGACGGUUUUGCUGUCACUUAUAGAUGGAUCCGCGCCGCAUUAGCUAGUUGGUAAGGUAACGGCUUACCAAGGCAACGAUGCGUAGCCGACCUGAGAGGGUGAUCGGCCACACUGGAACUGAGACACGGUCCAGACUCCUACGGGAGGCAGCAGUAGGGAAUCUUCCGCAAUGGGCGAAAGCCUGACGGAGCAACGCCGCGUGAGUGAUGAAGGUCUUCGGAUCGUAAAACUCUGUUAUUAGGGAAGAACAAAUGUGUAAGUAACUAUGCACGUCUUGACGGUACCUAAUCAGAAAGCCACGGCUAACUACGUG